UUGAAUUUCAAGAAAAAAAUCCAGCACAUUCGCGAAAAAUCGUCAAUGAAAAUGAUAAUAUAUCUGCUACUGCUGAUUCAU
rnacentral:sRNA from 1 species